UACGAAGGUGGCAAGCGUUGUUCGGAAUCACUGGGCAUAAAGCGCGUGUAGGCGGCUGGGUAAGUCGGGUGUGAAAUCCCUCAGCUCAACUGAGGAACUGCGCCCGAAACUACCUUGCUUGAGGUCUGGAGGGGAGAGUGGAAUUCCCGGUGGAGCGGUGAAAUGCGUAGAUAUCGGGAGGAACGCCGGUGGCGAAAGCGACUCUCUGGACAGAUCCUGACGCUGAGACGCGAAAGCUAGGGGAGCAAACGGG
rnacentral:rRNA from 2 species